rnacentral:rRNA from 1 species
AUUGAACGCUGGCGGCAGGCCUAACACAUGCAAGUCGAACGAGUGGCGGACGGGUGAGUAAUGUCUGGGAAACUGCCUGAUGGAGUGGGAUAACUACUGGAAACGGUAGCUAAUACCGCAUACCAUCGGAUGUGCCCAUAUGGGAUUAGCUAGUAGGUGGGGUAAAGGCUCACCUAGGCGACGCUCCCUAGCUGGGCUGAGAGGAUGACCGGCCACACUGGAACUGAGACACGGUCCAGACUCCUACGCGCGGCAGCAGGGGGGAAUAUUGCACAAUGGGCGCAAGGCUGAUGCAGCCAUGCCGCGUGUAUGAAGAAGGGCUUCGGGUUGUAAAGUACUUACAGCGGGGAGGCGUUACGCGCAGAAGAAGCGCCGGCUAACUCCGUGCCAGCAGCCGCGGUAAUAC